rnacentral:rRNA from 1 species
UACGAAGGGUGCAAACGUUGCUCGGAAUUAUUGGGCGUAAAGCGCACGUAGGCGGUUUAGCAAGUUGGAUGUGAAAUCCCCGGGCUCAACCUGGGAACUGCAUCCAAAACUGGCGAGCUAGAGUAUGGUAGAGGGUGGUGGAAUUUCCUGUGUAGCGGUGAAAUGCGUAGAUAUAGGAAGGAACACCAGUGGCGAAGGCGACCACCUGGACUGAUACUGACACUGAGGUGCGAAAGCGUGGGGAGCAAACAGG